rnacentral:tRNA from 1 species
CGAAGUAUAGCAUAUAUAAUGCUUUUUACUUACACUAAAAAUAAAGUUUACACUUACUUCGC